UACGUAGGGUGCGAGCGUUAAUCGGAAUGACUGGGCGUAAAGCGUGCGCAGGCGGUUUGCUAAGACCGAUGUGAAAUCCCCGGGCUUAACCUGGGAACUGCAUUGGUGACUGGCAGGCUAGAGUAUGGCAGAGGGGGGUAGAAUUCCACGUGUAGCAGUGAAAUGCGUAGAGAUGUGGAGGAAUCCCGAUGGCGAAGGCAGCCCCCUGGGCCAAUACUGACGCUCAUGCACGAAAGCGUGGGUAGCAAACAGG
rnacentral:rRNA from 1 species